UACAGUAAGCUGAGAUCAUGCCAUUGCACUCCAGCCUGGGCGACAGAGCAAGAAUCUGUCUCAAAAAAAAUAAAUAAAUAAGUGUUAAAUAUUCUUUAUUUGCUAUUACACAUAAAUCACACCAGAAUCUCUUUCAAUAAGUAAAAGGGAUUUUAUUUUAUUUUUAUUUUGUCUAUUUUUUGAGACAGGGUCAUCCAGGCUGGAGUGCAGUGGUGCAAUCACAGCUCACUGCAGCCUUGACUUCCCGGGCUCAGGCAAUCCUGCCUCAGCCUUCCGAGCAACUGGGGCCACAGGCAUGCGCCACCACACCCAGCUAAUUUUUUUAUUAUCUGUGGAAGCAGGGUCUCCCUAUGUUGCCCAGGCUGGUCUUGAACUCUUAGGCUCAAGUGACCCUCCCACCUGGGCCUUACAAAUUUCUGGGACUAUCAGUGUGAGCCACCAUUCUCAGCCUAAAAGAAACCAUUACAGAUACAGGGAAUUCUACUUAGAUUGGCAGAGUUAAGGUCAAAAAUAUAAAGUACACAUUGCUACUUUACCUUCAGCCCUUUCCUUUAAGAGGCAAAUCAACACAAAAUAUGGUGCAUCUUGCUUGGUUCUGAGACAGUGAAGGAAUUUCUCCAGUGUUUAAAUAUAUUCAUAUAACCGGUUAUAUAAAUCUAAAUAUAAAACCUAUCUCCAAUACUUUUUUUUUUUGAGAUGGAGUCUCGCUCUGUCGCCAGGCUGGAGUGCAGUGGCACAAUCUCAGCUCACUGCAACCUCUGCCUCCCAGGUUCAAGUGAUUCUCCUGCCUCAGCCUCCCAAGUAGCUGGGACUACAGGCACAUGCCACCAUGCCCAGCUAAUUUUUGUAUUUUUUAGUAGAGACGGGGUUUCACCAUGUUGGCCAGGAUGGUAUCGAUCUCUUGACCUUGUGAUCCACCCGCCUUGGCCUCCCAAAGUGCUGGGAUUACAGGCAUGAGCCAUCACACCCGGCCUCCAAUACAUUUUUAAGAUAGCAUUCACCAUUUUUGUGAAAAGUUGGACAUUACCAGCCAGGUGCUGUGGCUCACGCCUGUAAUCCCAGCAGUUUGGGAGACAGAGAUGGAGGAUCACUUGACGCCAGGAGUUCAAGAUUAGCCUGAGCAACAUAGUGAGACCCCAUCUCUACAUCUACAUCUAUAAAUAAAAAAUUAAUUAAUUAAAUUAAUUAAAAUCUUAUCUCCACAUAGAUGGAGAGCCUCAAAACAAAUCAAAGCUAUGGUCAUUGUCUUUCUCCCCCAGAGUACUCCUCUUCCUGUUUGCCUAAGCAUUUUAACAUCAUUCACUUGCA
rnacentral:lncRNA from 10 species